ensembl:ncRNA Y73B6A.16 ncRNA
GAUUCAGCAUCACACUCCCAUCCAAACUCCAGAGACGUCUAAAGUUUAUUUGGAAUCUCUCACCGGGGUGGCUGUUUGCCAAGCAUCUCAAAUUGUGUCUCCAUUCGAUUUUUCCGAUGAUGAAAAUCCGCCAAACGCUCAACGCCGGCAUUGAGCCCCUUCUGGAUGAACCGGAAAGCCCGCCGAAAACACAGAGCA